rnacentral:rRNA from 1 species
AGUGAACGCUGGCGGUAGGCCUAACACAUGCAAGUCGAACGGCAGCACAGUAAGAGCUUGCUCUUACGGGUGGCGAGUGGCGGACGGGUGAGGAAUACAUCGGAAUCUACUUUUUCGUGGGGGAUAACGUAGGGAAACUUACGCUAAUACCGCAUACGACCUACGGGUGAAAGCAGGGGAUCUUCGGACCUUGCGCGAUUGAAUGAGCCGAUGUCGGAUUAGCUAGUUGGCGGGGUAAAGGCCCACCAAGGCGACGAUCCGUAGCUGGUCUGAGAGGAUGAUCAGCCACACUGGAACUGAGACACGGUCCAGACUCCUACGGGAGGCAGCAGUGGGGAAUAUUGGACAAUGGGCGCAAGCCUGAUCCAGACAUACCGCGUGGGUGAAGAAGGACUUCGGGUUGUAAAGCCCUUUUGUUGGGAAAGAAAAGCAGCAGGUUAAUACCCCGCUGUUCUGACGGUACCCAAAGAAUAAGCACCGGCUAACUUCGUG